GCUGGGUAGGGUGGGGGGGGGAGAGAUAGAGAGAGAGAGAUAGAGAGAGAGAGAGAAUCCCAAGUAGGCUCAGCACUAUCAGCACAGAGCCCAAUGUGGGGCUUAAACUCACAAACCAUGAAAUCAUGACCUGAGCCAAAAGCAAGAGUCAGAUGCUUAACUGACUGAACCACAUAGGUACCCCACUCAGCACAUCUUAAUUGGAUGAACAAAUGGAUGGAUGAAUGAACAUCUGUCAUUUGAUAAAUAUCUGCAAGCUGUUUUGGCCUUUGACAGAUGAACUAGCUACUGUGAAAAGACUUGGGAAAAUUGAGGACUACUGAUAAAGAUUUAGAAUUUCAUAAAUUGUCGAAAUGUAUUCUAUUAAUAUAUACAUGUUCAGACAUUGUUUAGACAUUCAGAAGCAAAACCCAUUUCCCCUUCCUUGGCAACAAACAGAACUCUAAUUGUGUUCAUGUAUCUACCCCCAUUGUGCUUCUGGGGCGUUCCAGGGAGUGGGUAAUAAUUGGUUUAAGCCGGAAUAGUGGUCCUAUCUUCUCAUUAGUGACUGUUUUAAGCAUGGACAUGUGACAACAUUCUGAACUAGAGCCAAGGCAGUAUGUUCUAAGAGGUCUCUGGGAAAUUUUUUCCUGGCUCUUUAAAAGAGGUCGGUGGAAAUAAACAGUCUCUUUCCUGCUACAGAGUGUUGUGUCUGUAAGUGGCAUCUGGAACAGUCAUUUUAGGACUGUGAGGAGAGGAGAGUUAACCCAAAAAGAACACGCAGAGAUACACAGAGUGGGAAGAGAGGAGGAACCUGUGUUCUGAUGACAUCGUUGAGCUGUAGAAUGAACCAACACUGAAGCUGUUCUUCCUUCAACUUCUUGUCAUGUGAAACAAUAAAUAACUUUAUCAAUUAA